GGAAAAAGCAAUUCCAUUGAAUCCUAGUAACACCAGAAGUUGACUGUUCUAUGUAAAUACGCUACAUGAAUACACACGUCUUAACGAAUAUUUGAACAUUACAAUGUGUUUAAAGGACAGAUAAAUAGAUACACUUGAGAGCGCGCACACACAACACACAAUUACAAUCCAAAGGAUCCCAAACAGUAGACUGGAUUAAUUGGAUGGAAGGGAGA
rnacentral:misc_RNA from 1 species